GCGGGAAAUGCAGGGGCUGUUCGGCACCUCGCCCCGGGCUCAGUCUCCCCCAUCUGAUCCCAGUGCUCGUGCGGCAUGCGAAGCCCUCCCCUAACCAUACUAGCCAGGACUCCUGCUAACGGCUGGGGCAGGUUAGAAAGGGCAGCGCUUGCUUCUGAUCUUUGUAGGUCCUGGUUAGUAGUGAGUCUGUUGGUCGGUGUAGCAUUUCCUACAGAUGAUGCUGGGGAAAUUAGGCACAAUGCUAAUGCUGAGCAGACCUGUAUCUCUCUAUUGGGACACUCCGUGCACCCCUGUAUGUGAGGCAACUACCUUUACUGUGAAGUUGGACCGGGACACCAUUUCAAUUCAAUAACCUGAUUAUUGGCAAAACUUGAAAGAGUUUUCAUGCCAAAGUGCAGAAGAGGUUCUGUCUGAGGGAGGUCUCAUUCUGAUGACAACCAUGAGAAUAGCUGAUCUGCGGAUUGAACCCUCUCCGGCUACUGCAUGCUAAAUUGUGCUAGUAAGAAUUAAGAUCUGAACUAUUGAUCAGGUCACACAUGUAACAUUUGUUUAGCCUGGAAUUAUCAAACUUACUUUGAAAGGAAAGGAGAGUGUUUCUGCAAAACUCAAUGAAAAUUAUUCAAAGAUCUUGAAUGACGGGUACUUCUACAUGUACCCUGUUUUGAAAUGACUUUUGUCUUCAUAUAGCACAAUGACUUGUUACUUACCCUUUCAAGCUUCCCAAAUACUUAGUCUUUUCGAAAAGUCAUACAACAGCAGCAGGUGGAAGAAAACAGGUUGUAAUUAAGCAAGUUAUUUACUUUGUGCUCAAAACUCUUCAACAAUCUUGUUUCCAUUUAUAUUAAAGGGAGGUUUUUUCACCAUUGACCUGAGUGACAGCAGGAUUAGAUGCCAGGGUCAAAAUUUUCAAAAGUGACCAGUGAUUUGGGGUGUCAGUUUUUGGGUAUCCAAGUUGGGGCACCUGGGCCUGAUUUUUCUGAGGUGCUCAGCUUCCAUUGACUUCAGCUGGAAUUGUCAGUUGCCUAAUUUUUCAGAACACUUACAAUUCCAGCUGAAACCAAUAGGAACUGAGCUGAGGUAUCUCACCCCAAAUCAGUGGCCACUCUUGAAAAUGUGGUUUUGUGUGUAUGUGAAUACUGCAUUUCAGACAAACUAUUGCUGUGUAUCAGUUUUGUACUACAACAGUGCCUAGAGGCCUCAUCCAAGACCUAGCCCUCAUUGUUCAAGGCACUGUACACGCAUGAACAAGAUGACCUCUGGUCAGGGCUGGCUCCAGCUUUUUUGCUGCCCCAAGUGGCAAAAAAAAAAAGAAAAAAAGAAAAACCCAAUUGAGCUGCCACUGAGGAUGAAGACAGGGAGUGAAGGACCCACCGCUGAAUUGCCGCCAAAGACUGAAGCGGGCCGAUCAAGCUGCCGCCCUGGACGUGACGCCCCAACAACGGACAGAGUGCUGCCUCUUUCUAUUGGCUGCCCCAGGCACCUGCUUCCUUCCCUGGUGCCUGGAGCCGGCCCUGCCUCUUGUUCAAAGAGCUUAUGCUGUAAAUGGAUAAGGUAGACAAACGGUGGGAAGGGAAACAAAGACACCGAGGGGUGCCGUGAUUUGCUCAAGCUCACACAAAAGCUCACUGGCAGAGCAGGGAGGAGAACUCAGGUCUUCUGUAUCCCAGUCCAGUGCCCCAGCCCCUGGAUCACAGUGCCUCUGUUCACUCGGCCACAUCUGGAGGCAUGCAGAGUUUUUGCUAAAUUUGUCCAAGUCCUUUUCAAAUGCGAGUCAGAUUGCAUUUUAAGAGUAAUGAGGCUCAUUCUAACUGAAAAUGGAGAAUGUGUAUCUAAGCAGCUAACAAACAGUAAUGACUGCUUCAUAAUAGAGUGUCUUAAAAUGCCAAUAGAGCAUAGUAGUGGUUUUAGACCCAAGAAGUUCUCCCCAGAAUUUGCAGACUUAGAAUGGGAAAGGGAUCAGCACUCGAGGGCAGGCAGUGUUGUCUCUCUGAGUGGUGUUGAUGUGGCACAGACAUCUGUUAGAUUACCUUUUUUAAACCAUAGGAUCACUUCCACCAACCAGUUACUGGGGAUUUCUUUUUCAUUUGUUUGUUUAAUAUGCAGCCCUGCGCGUUGUUUAGGCUUCAGAGAUACCAUCCCUUCUCUGUUUGCCUAGACCGACAGCAGCACAAAAGAGUUGCACCCGUGCUGUCAAGGGGAUUGUUGGAUGCUGUAAAUAUCCAUAACUCUGCAAGCUGCAGUGCUUUGUCCACUGGCCAAUCUUAUAGAUUCUUUCUUCUGUGAUGGGUUCCCAGAAAGGUUAGGAACUGCUUGAGGAAAUAUCUUUCUUGAGUGUAUAAGGCUUGUUGAAACAGGGAACCUGUUAUAAAAGGCACAGUAAUUUUGCAUUCGAGAGGAAGUCUGCAACGGCAUUUCUUGUGUCAUACAAACAUCUAGACUUGUGUGGGCUAAAUCUUUGGGGACAGAUUCAAGACUCAAUUUGUCAGAUAUUACAUCAAGCACCAUUUUAUUGUAAGUCAGGAUUUUCAAAAAGUGACCCAACCUGAGACACUUGAAAAGGGACCUGAUUUUUACAAAGAGCUGAGCAUUCUUCCAACAGACCUUCAUAAAUGUGUGUCAUGGGACACCCAAAAAUUGAGGGGCCCAAAGUUAAGAACAUUUGAAAAUCUAGGCCAUAAUUAAUAUAAAAUGUGUUAUGCUGGAUCAAAAUGACGAUCUCUAGCAAUCUGUAGGUGCAAGAAUUCUGUUUCCCCAAACUCUGCGUACUGGACUUAAGCCCAGGCAGUGAGGGAAGUCUUUUUGAAACUUAAACCUGUAUCUGACGAAAAGAUGGACUAGCAAUUUGAAACUUGUAUAUAAAUUGGUGGAUAUUUCCUUACCCAUCCGUCAGUCUUUCUAAGCGAGAUCUGCAAUUGUAUGCAAUGCGAUCAUUAAGACUCCAAUUUGGGAAGGCAUCACAUUAAGGAAGGGCACAUAAACAUAUGCUUAACUCCCGUUGAAGUCCUAGAUGACUAACACGUGCUUAAAUGUUUUCCUGAAUUAUGACCUAAUACAGACAGUAUUAUUAGUUACUUUUUCUGGCACAAUAUUGAAAAAUAAUGUGAGGUGAAAUCCUGACCCUAUUUGAAGGUAAUGGGAAUUUUUCACUGACUUCAGUGGGGUCAGGGUGUUACUCCCAAUGUCUGAUCCAAAAUCCACUGAAGUUAGUGAAAAAACUGUGGUUGGAUUUGGAUCCAGCCCUUGAUGAAGAAUCAAAAUAAACUGCCAGUUAAGAAAUAUUGUCUCAGGAAACUUUUAAGUUACAUGAAGGUGCAUACAGCGUAUGCAUACCUGCUCACACUGGCGUAGUAACAUUUAGUAUCUCUGUAGGGGCAGGGCCUCAGGAGGGGCAGGACAGGGGUGUUCAGUUUUGUGUGAGUAGAAAGUUGGCAACCCUAUCCUUGACUUGAUAAAAUUUAGAUCCUGAAUCAAACUUUGUAUCUGUGUAGGAGCUGGUUUUUAUAAUGUACUAUGAGAAUUAAUGUAUGAUUUGAUUUCAUCGUGUCAGCUACCCUUUUGAAUAGUAGAAAGGAAUGACAGACCAGAACAAUCCUUAUGAGUGAUUAUGGUCAUCUUUUUGUUUUAGGAUGUGUUAUAAUGUCUACUAUGGUUUCCUAUAUGUAUUACAAAUUAGGCACUCUAGUUAAAUAUACAUUUAUUUGUUUUAAGGUUUAGUAAGUAAGAGACAGGAAUCUCUACUGUGUCUGUUAAGUAGAUUAGAGGAACAUUGAAGACCUGGGUCUCGAUGUAAAUUGUCUUGGUUAUUGAUUGUAAAACUUAGCAAGGUUUAAUUUGCAAUACCUUUUUUGCUCAAUAUAAAAUACUACUGUUUGUAUUCUCAAUCUGUUUGUGUGAAUGAGGAUGUAUGCAUCAGGAAAAGAUAAGGUGUGAAGGCCAUUGUUAUAGCCAGAGUCAAGGAAGAAGUAGUAAAGAGACUUAAAGGACAUCAAAGAAUCAUCAAUGUGCAUCCAUAGUGAAGGGCAGAUUGACGACCCUGAGGUGGAGGCUGGCACCUCUAAGGACAAUUGAUGAAAUCAGAACAAAGGACAGGAUAACUCUCUCGGAGGUAUAUGAGAAGUAACUGGUCACAAACUGACAGAGCAAAAUCCAUAUACUUAAACAAAGAAAAAAACCUAUAAGAACAGAGUGCUUGGCCGUGGGACUUUGGUCCGUCUUGCCACACUCCAGGAGCAUCGGAUCGCAACCAACAAGAGCCAAGCUCCACAACUCGUGCUCAAUCUAACUGGCCAUUAGAUUGACUCGAACUACAACAGACUGGUAACUAUAAACUUCACAGCCAGGACUGUGCGUGUAUGUGACUAAAAAGCAUAUGCUAACUGUUGUAUUCUCAAUAAAUGCUGUGUAUUUACCUUC